rnacentral:rRNA from 1 species
AUUGAACGCUGGCGGCAUGCCUUACACAUGCAAGUCGAACGGUAACGCGGGGCAACCUGGCGACGAGUGGCGAACGGGUGAGUAAUGCAUCGGAACGUGCCCAGUAGUGGGGGAUAGCCCGGCGAAAGCCGGAUUAAUACCGCAUAAGAUCUGAGGGUGAAAGGGGGGGAUCGCAAGACCUCUCGCUAUUGGAACGGCCGAUGUCAGAUUAGCUAGUUGGUGGGGUAAAGGCCUACCAAGGCAACGAUCUGUAGUUGGUCUGAGAGGACGACCAGCCACACUGGGACUGAGACACGGCCCAGACUCCUACGGGAGGCAGCAGUGGGGAAUUUUGGACAAUGGGCGCAAGCCUGAUCCAGCAAUGCCGCGUGCAGGAAGAAGGCCUUCGGGUUGUAAACUGCUUUUGUCAGGGAAGAAAUCUUCUGGGUUAAUACCUCGGGAGGAUGACGGUACCUGAAGAAUAAGCACCGGCUAACUACGUGCCAGCCGCCGCGGUAAAAC